rnacentral:rRNA from 1 species
UAGGAAUCUUCGGCAAUGGACGAAAGUCUGACCGAGCAACGCCGCGUGAGUGAAGAAGGUUUUCGGAUCGUAAAACUCUGUUGUUAGAGAAGAACAAGGAUGAGAGUAAAAUGUUCAUCCCUUGACGGUAUCUAACCAGAAAGCCACGGCUAACUACGUGCCAGCAGCCGCGGUAAUACGUAGGUGGCAAGCGUUGUCCGGAUUUAUUGGGCGUAAAGCGAGCGCAGGCGGUUUCUUAAGUCUGAUGUGAAAGCCCCCGGCUCAACCGGGGAGGGUCAUUGGAAACUGGGAGACUUGAGUGCAGAAGAGGAGAGUGGAAUUNCCAUGUGUAGCGGUGAAAUGCGUAGAUAUAUGGAGGAACACCAGUGGCGAAGGCGGCUCUCUGGUCUGUAACUGACGCUGAGGCUCGAAAGCGUGGGGAGCGAACAGGAUUAGAUACCCUGGUAGUCCACGCCGUAAACGAUGAGUGCUAAGUGUUGGAGGGUUUCCGCCCUUCAGUGCUGCAGCAAACGCAUUAAGCACUCCGCCUGGGGAGACGCCGCAAGGUG